GACGAACGCUGGCGGCGUGCCUAAUACAUGCAAGUAGAACGCUGAAGGAGGAGCUUGCUUCUCUGGAUGAGUUGCGAACGGGUGAGUAACGCGUAGGUAACCUGCCUGGUAGCGGGGGAUAACUAUUGGAAACGAUAGCUAAUACCGCAUAAGAGUAGAUGUUGCAUGACAUUUGCUUAAAAGGUGCAAUUGCAUCACUACCAGAUGGACCUGCGUUGUAUUAGCUAGUUGGUGGGGUAACGGCUCACCAAGGCGACGAUACAUAGCCGACCGGAGAGGGUGAUCGGCCACACUGGGACUGAGACACGGCCCAGAGUCCUACGGGAGGCAGCAGUAGGGAAUCUUCGGCAAUGGACGGAAGUCUGACCGAGAAACGCCGCGUGAGUGAAGAAGGUUUUCGGAUCGUAAAGCUCGGUUGUAAGAGAAGAACGAGUGUGAGAGUGGAAAGUUCACACUGUGACGGUAUCUUACCAGAAAGGGACGGCUAACUACGUG
rnacentral:rRNA from 1 species